rnacentral:rRNA from 1 species
GAACCUUACCAGGUCUUGACAUCCCACGAAUUCAUCUGAAGGAUGGAGUGCCUUCGGGAGCGUGGAGACAGGUGGUGCAUGGUUGUCGUCAGCUCGUGUCGUGAGAUGUUGGGUUAAGUCCCGCAACGAGCGCAACCCUUGCUAUUAGUUGCUAACAGGUAGAGCUGAGCACUCUAAUGGGACUGCCGGUGACAAGCCGGAGGAAGGUGGGGAUGACGUCAAAUCAUCAUGCCCUUUAUGACCUGGGCUACACACGUGCUACAAUGGAUGGUACAGAGAGCAGCGAGGCAGCGAUGUGGAGCGAAUCUCAAAAAGCCAUUCUCAGUUCGGAUUGGAGUCUGCAACUCGACUCCAUGAAGUCGGAAUCGCUAGUAAUCGCGAAUCAGCAUGUCGCGGUAAAUGCGUUCCCGGGCCUU